AUUGAACGCUGGCGGCAGGCUUAACACAUGCAAGUCGAGCGAGCGGCGGACGGGUGAGUAAUGUCUGGGAAACUGCCUGAUGGAGGGGGAUAACUACUGGAAACGGUAGCUAAUCCCGCUUACCACAGGAGGUGCCAAGAUGGGAUUCGCUGGUAGGGGGGGUAAUGGCUCACCUAGGCGACGAUCCCUAGCUGGUCUGAAGGGAUGACCAGCCACACUGGAACUGAGACACGGUCCAGACUCCUACGGGAGGCAGCAGUGGGGAAUAUUGCACAAUGGGCGCAAGCCUGAUGCAGCCAUGCCGCGUGUGUGAAGAAGGCCUUCGGGUUGUAAAGCACUUUCAGCGAGGAGGCGUUACUCGCAGAAGAAGCACCGGCUAACUCCGUGCCAGCAGCCGCGGUAAUUC
rnacentral:rRNA from 1 species